UGGGGAAUUUUGGACAAUGGGCGAAAGCCUGAUCCAGCAAUGCCGCGUGUGUGAAGAAGGCCUUCGGGUUGUAAAGCACUUUUGUCCGGAAAGAAAUCCUUGGCUCUAAUACAGUCGGGGGAUGACGGUACCGGAAGAAUAAGCACCGGCUAACUACGUGCCAGCAGCCGCGGUAAUACGUAGGGUGCAAGCGUUAAUCGGAAUUACUGGGCGUAAAGCGUGCGCAGGCGGUUUGCUAAGACCGAUGUGAAAUCCCCGGGCUCAACCUGGGAACUGCAUUGGUGACUGGCAGGCUAGAGUAUGGCAGAGGGGGGUAGAAUUCCACGUNUAGCAGUGAAAUGCGUAGAGAUGUGGAGGAAUACCGAUGGCGAAGGCAGCCCCCUGGGCAAGUACUGACGCUCAUGCACGAAAGCGUGGGGAGCAAACAGGAUUAGAUACCCCUGGUAGUCCACGCCCUAAAACGAUGUCAACUAGUUGUUGGGGAUUCAUUUCCUUAGUAACGUAGCUAACGCGUGAAGUUGACCGCCUGGGGAGUACGGUCGCAAGAUUAAAACUCAAAUGAA
rnacentral:rRNA from 1 species